CACCAAAGGAAAAGCCUAUAUGACACCGCGGGUUCACCCCGCCCCGCCGCUUAGGGAAAAGAAAAAGGAAAAUCUAUCCCUUUGGGCGCCGCACGGGUCGAGAAGCUCAGAGCUAUGGCGAUGGCGGAGGCGGAAGAUCAUGGAUUCGAGUUCCUAUCAGAUCCGGCUGCCAGGUUCCCGCUGCCGGAUCUUGGAGGUGGCGACUCCAAACUGCACAUCGAACACACCCAAAUUCUGGUAUGCACGGCCGCUGAGUUCAGCAUUGGUGAUGUUGGCUAUGUGGCGCUGACAGUCCAAGUAGACCUAAACAGCACUUGCGAGGGGCUGAGUUUGUGGGAAAAGAUCUCAGAGGAAUCAUCGGCAAAGAUCUCAAGCCCCGGGCUGGACGAAGAGAAUAAGUGCCCUGAAGAAAACAGUGAGAGUCUAUGCCGAGAAGAAGACUGGCACCGUUAUAGUUCCUGAAGUAGGGAGCAAUUUUUAUUCAUCCAAAGAAGCAUAUGACUAUUACAAUCCAGAGAAAUUGGGUUCGGAAUUAGAUACGGGAAGAGCAGGCUAAACGUCCAGAGAACAAAAUGACUGCAGGAGAUAGUUCGUGGAUGCUCGGGCAAACCAAAAGGAAGUAACACACGGUCUUGCCAGUGCAGGUGCCCCGCAAUGAUACGGUUGCUGCGGUCAAACGACAGCGGCUGGUAUAUAAGCAAGCAUAGGCCGUCACACAAUCACUAUAUACACACGUGACCUUGCAGCUCCGCGAAAAUAAUAUUAGCAUCGGCAAGGUGUACAACAUAAUUGGUAGUUUCUUUAUGGUUCAAUGAGCAAUGUACCUUUCAGCAAAAGGGCGUUGAGGCAUACGAUGACGUCCGAAAGACAAUGGAGGUUUUUUUCGGGAACACGCCUUGGGCCUCGUUUCAUUGAUAGAAAGGAGUGGUGAACAGUACAAGGGGUGCCACUCCUACUGUCGUGCGCUAACAGGCGUCAGUAGGAGGAGAAUGGAGGUUUUUGCAGAAUUGGGAUCAAAAGAUUCUGGGUUUUACUACAGGGUACAACCCGACGAACAUAGCUGCAUACCGAACUUGAUCUAUACGGGAGCAAGCAGGGCAUAGUACCAUGACUUCGGAGACGCAAUAACAUUUGAUACGACAUACCGCACAAACCUGUAUGAUAUACGUUUGGACUGUUUGUGGGGGUGAGCAAUUACUUUCAAAGCAUGAUCUUCGGCAGCGCUCUUGUAAGGGAUGAGACAGUAGAAACAUUUGAGUGGGUGUUCACUGAAUUUAUCUGCAUGAUGGGCGGCAAGCAUCCGCGGACCUUGCUCAUAGUAAGGUGUGUGGUUGCAUGCCUGUAGAUCAGUCCAGGGCAAUGGAGGUAGCAAUCAAGAAGGUGAUGCCAGAAACCACCCGCCAUUGGUGCAAGUUGCACGUGCUUAAGAAGGCAAAUGAAUUUCUUGGUCCAUAUUACACAAACUGGAGCAACUUCAAAUUAGAAUUCCCAAGACAAUACAUCACAUGCUGACGAUUCAUGAGUUCAAGACUGCAUGGAAGGAGCUGACAGAGGCAUGUGGUCUGAAAAACAACCUUACCUAAACAGCUAUGAAACAAGAUCAAAAUGGGAGUAACCGUACUUCAAUGGUAAAUUCUAUGCACCUGUAAAAAAAUGGUGAAUUCUGUGCAAAAAUGAGCACCACACAACGUAGUGAGAGUCCCAACCAUAUGCUCAGGGCUUGUUUGCCAAUACAUGAGAUUUCUGUAGUAUAUGCCACGAGCCAGGUCACAAGAGCACCACCUGUCCAUAGAAAGGCGAUCUUCCUCAGAAGGAAAGAGAAGAAGCUAAAUGCCCAAACUAUGUUGUCGGUGGUCACAGGAAGAACACCUGCAACAAGCUAAGGUUGUGCUGCAUAUUGUUGAAAAUGCUACUUUAGAGGAAAAGAGAUGUGCGGGUGACCUGAUUAGAUUCAGCAUUUUUAUUUAUGUGUUGUUGAGGGCUCCGUAGCCGUUUGCCAGAACAUUGUGUUCUGUCUCAUAAUAGUUGUUUAUGAGCAUGUGCUCUUGCCUUUCUAUGCAUGUUUAUCAUAAUUAUUAUCUGUGAAAAUUCAGUGACA